UGAGCAAACCCUAAUGUUGUUCAAGUGUCUACAUUUUUCAAGUUCUUUCAUGCAUUCCACUUGCAUUUAAUUUACACAAACCUAUUCAAUCACUCAUCUCAUACUAAGGGCAACUCAUAACCACUUUGCUAUCAAGCAAAAUCACCAAACCCUAACCAACCCUAGCUGCCGAAAAUUUUAGGGUGCACACACACACAUUUUUAUUUUGUUUUCUUAUAUUUCCUACUCAUUUCAUG
rnacentral:misc_RNA from 1 species